GAUGAACGCUGGCGGCGUGCCUAACACAUGCAAGUCGAGCGAACGGACGAGAAGCUUGCUCCUCUGAUGUUAGCGGCGGACGGGUGAGUAACACGUGGAUAACCUACCUAUAAGACUGGGAUAACUACGGGAAACCGGAGCUAAUACCGGAUAAUAUUUUGAACCUCAUGGUUCAAAAGUUAAAUACGGUCUUUCUGUCACUUAUAGAUUGAUCCGCGCUGCAUUAGUUAGUUGGUGAGGUAACUGCUUACCAAGGCAACGAGGCAUAGCCGACCUGAGAGGGUGAUCGGCCAGACUGGAACUGAGACACGGUACAGACACCUAGGGGAGGCAGCAGUAGAGAAUCUUACGCGAGGGGGGAGAGGGGGACAGAGCAACGCCGCGGGAGUGAUGAUGGACUACGGAUGGGAGAGCGCUGUAGUUAGGGGAGAAGAAAUGUGUAAGUAACUGUGCACAUAUUGACGGUACCGGGUCAAUAAGCCACGGCUAACUACGUG
rnacentral:rRNA from 1 species